CCCUGCGGCUGCCUUACCAUGCAGUCGAACGGCAGCACGGGUGCUUGCACCUGGUGGCGAGUGGCGAACGGGUGAGUAAUACAUCGGAACAUGUCCUGUAGUGGGGGAUAGCCCGGCGAAAGCCGGAUUAAUACCGCAUACGAUCUCUGGAUGAAAGCGGGGGACCUUCGGGCCUCGCGCUAUAGGGUUGGCCGAUGGCUGAUUAGCUAGUUGGUGGGGUAAAGGCCUACCAAGGCGACGAUCAGUAGCUGGUCUGAGAGGACGACCAGCCACACUGGGACUGAGACACGGCCCAGACUCCUACGGGAGGCAGCAGUGGGGAAUUUUGGACAAUGGGCGAAAGCCUGAUCCAGCAAUGCCGCGUGUGUGAAGAAGGCCUUCGGGUUGUAAAGCACUUUUGUCCGGAAAGAAAUCCUUGGCUCUAAUACAGUCGGGGGAUGACGGUACCGGAAGAAUAAGCACCGGCUAACUACGUGCCACG
rnacentral:rRNA from 1 species